AACGCGAAGAACCUUACCUGGUCUUGACAUCCUAGGAAUCCUGCAGAGAUGCGGGAGUGCCUUCGGGAACCUGGAGACAGGUGCUGCAUGGCUGUCGUCAGCUCGUGUCGUGAGAUGUUGGGUUAAGUCCACUAACGAGCGCAACCCUUAGCGCCAGUUACACGUGUCUGGCGCGACUGCCGGUCUUAAGCCGGAGGAAGGUGGGGAUGACGUCAAGUCCGCAUGUCCUUUAUGCCCUGGGCUACACACACGCUACAAUGGCCAGUACAAUGGGUCGCCAAGCCGUGAGGCGGAGCCAAUCCUGAAAAGCUGGCCUCAGUUCGGAUCGCAGGCUGCAACUCGCCUGCGUGAAGCUGGAAUCGCUAGUAAUCGCGGAUCAGUACGCCGCGGUGAAUACGUUCCCGGGUCUUGUACACACGC
rnacentral:rRNA from 1 species